rnacentral:lncRNA from 1 species
AAAAAAACAUUAUUCUGUAAACCCAAACCUGAUUUCUUUUCAGGGAUUUAUAUGAAUGUCACAACAUCGUAAGAAUAACUAUAAACCGUAGAACUGAAACUCUAAACCCUAAAUACUAAACCCUAAACCCUAGAUACUAAAUCCUAAACUCUAGUGUAAAUCUUAAACUUUUGGGUAAACCAUAAACUCUUGGGUACACUAUAAACCCUAGCGUUUAUGAUUUAUCCAAAGAUUUAGGAUUAAAAACAG